GCAGCGAGCAGUCCGCGGCAAUUUUGCGAAAAGAAAUAAAAGCGUCAACUAAAUAAGGAAAAAGGUGCAUCGACUGCAUACAGCCCACAAUCUAGGUCAGAAUUCUAGUGUAAAAUUGGUUUGAUCAUAGCGCCGGAGGCCAGAAAAGAGAGCAUAACCCAUAACAGAGCGACUCGUCGAUGGCUGUCGCAAGAAGUGAAAUUGAUGCACACAUAUUGCGGCGGGCCUCAGCAACAAAAAGAGUAGCAGUAGCAGCAGCAACAGCAACAGCAAAAACUGUCGCCAGGGAGGCCCAAAAUAGUUGCUGUUUUGUUCCACAGACCAUGUCCGCAGCCGCGUCCGGCCAUUGAAACAUCCUCCCAGGAUCCCCUGAAGUGAAGCGGAGGUUUGCUAAAUCUACAUGGAAACGGACAGCAGCGACAGCAGGGACAGCGUGAACUCGAUACCGCGUCCUGAAUUCGAGGCCCUCUCCGCCAUCGACAGCCCCCAGCCAGUGCUGUUACUUCAGGCGGACAGUCAUGAUAUGGAGCCCAGUAUGCCCCACAAGCGACAAAAGUAUGUGGUGAGUGCCCCACCGGGGUCGGCUGCCGGCAGUAGCAACUCGUCCAACUCCAGUCCGUCGGCCACACUCGGACCACCGCUCACCAUGAAACUGACCAAGGUGCCGUCGCAACCGCACCUGCAGCUGCAGUCGGACCUUAGCCCAUUGGUAUCGUUGCCACAGAAGGAGGGCAAGACGACGAAGGUGCCCAAGGAGAUGCUGGCCCUCCAAAGGUCACAAAUGGAGUCCGAGGUGCUCAGCCACUUUGUGGCCGAUGGAUCGAAGUUAAAGCGCCGCAAGUCGCGCUUUGUCACAAAUCAGCUUAUGAAACGGGCCCAGCAAGACAAGGAGCGGUCGUCCCCCAAGCCUUCUUCCAGAUCUUCCAGCCGCAGCCGCAACAGCAAGCGCAAGAAAAAUCAGUUUAUGAAACGCAGCAAGAGCAUACCAAACCCGUCCUGGGACGCCGAAGAUACCGAAUGGGUUGAAAGGCUGGCUACGAAAGUACGCCAAGAGCGGGGUCUUUCCAUGGUCAACGAUUGCGGAGAACGCGUGCGGGGGCUUGAUGCCGAGGAUAGUAAUAGUAGUUCGACUGUGGAAUUGAGCCCCUCCAACCUUCGCUCCCGCAGCAAGACCAAUUCGCUAAGUAACAGCUGUAGCAAUGAGGAGCAUCGCCCAGCCAAACGCGCCAAUCUCCGCACCGAGAACGUGGAUUUUGCGAAGAAGCAUAGCGCCUUUCUGAACAGCAUCAUACAUGAUCCGGAAUCUGAGCAAAACCCUAACACCUCGACCGAGGUCGAUAGCGAUUGGAUCAACAGCUCGGCUGGCAGUAUGCAAGAUACCGAUGUGUCGGCGUUCUUGGAUUUCAUUAAUCCGAAGACUACAGACAAGGAGCCAGAGCCAGAAGACAAGGCAUACGAACGAAUGAUGCAGAUCUACACAACGCCGCCACGGAAUGGCUGGGAUCCCUUCUGCUGGAAGUGUCGGAAAUCCGGCAAUCUGCAGGCGUGCAGCAAGUGUCUUCGUUCGUUUCACUCAUACUGUGUGCGUCCAGCCACCACAAAAUUCGAUUACUCUUGGAAGUGUCCCGAGUGCACGCUGCUUGACCCCGCACCUAAAAGGUUGCGUCGGAACGAUGUCUCGGCCGAUCUGUUGAGCCAGCUGCUAGGCUUUGCGCUCGAACGCAUGAAACAAGUGCGCGGGCUCCAGAAGCUGCGGGCGCCAGAGGAUGUGUUACCGGAAACGUACAAAAAAUUCUUUGUGAAUCCCGUGAGCUUCGCGACUCUGUCCGCGCGCAUCAAAAACAACGCCUUUUGCAGUGUAGAUGAGUUCCUGAGUGAGGUCAAGUGGAUGCAGCACAAUGCCCUGAUAAUGGACUCUGGCGACCUCAAGGUGGAGCAGCCAGCUAAGCAGUUGGUGAAGGUGUGCCGCGAGGAGACCAUCGAGAUAGACACCUGCGCCGAGUGCUAUCUGAAUGCGAACUCCAGCGACGAGUGGUUCGUGAAGGUUUGCCGUCAGCCGCAUCUGUUGCUCUGGGCCAAGCUCAAGGGAUUUCCCUACUGGCCCGCCAAGGCCAUGGGUGCCGACAAAGGCCUGGUGAAUGUGCGCUUCUUUGGCAAGCAUGAUCGCGCCCAUGUGCCCGUGAAGGAUUGCUUCCUGUACUCGGCCCAGAAUCCCAAUAUGCAGACCAGUCGUCGCAUGGCCAGAGACCUGGUCGAUUGCAUUUGUGAGGUGGAGGUGCAUAUUGAGCAUAUCAAGCGGAAAAUCGGCUCCUUCCACUAUGCCCCCUACCGCACGCCCUACGAUCCGCUCGAGGAGCAGCAGCAGCUCGAGAACAUGAUGCCAGGCGUAUACGCGGCCAUCGAUCGUGAUCUGGAGCCGGCCAACAAGACGCCGCUGCAGUUUCUCAUUCGUAAAACAGCAGGCGAUAAGUUGUCCAUUGUAAAGAAAACAAAGGCCGCCACAGAGUCGGGCAAUGAGUCGGAUCAGUCGGUUAGUCCAGUCAAGAAGCUUCCACCGCCGCCGCCGCCGCCGCUUUCAUCACAGCAGCUUCAGGGACUAGGACAAGCAACCGCCACGGUCUCCGGCAAUGAGCAUGUCAAGCAGAAGAGCAACAACUAUGAGGUCAUACCCCGUUCGGCUGAAUCGCUGACCGACUCACGCUGCAAGGUGCUGCUCAAGCGGAAGAACCUGGCAGCAAAGGCCAUACCACCAGCCGACGCCUCAGUGGCGGGUACAGAGGUGGCCGGGAAGAGGCGUAAACAUUCCAUAAGCGAUACCAGCGGCACCUCCGAAUCGAGUCGUCGCGAAAAGCAUGCAGCACGCAAGCAGCAGAUGGCAGAACUGGAGCAGCAACAACAAGCGAAUAAUCCGGAAGAGGAGGAGCAGGACAAGAAGGACGAGUCUCUUUUUUCCGAACUUGAGUCGGAGAUGCAUUUAAAAUUGCCAGAUUCCCAAAUCGAUACCACGCCGGAUCCUCUCGGCGGAUUGGUGGAUUUGGUCAGACGUCGUCAAGGCGUGACCAUCACCAAGAUAUCACGCGAGCAGCAGCAGCAACAACAGCAACAGCAACAAGCUGCCUCCUCAAGUGACACCACUGCCCCAGAAGCUGCCAAGCCCCCAGUGGCCCAACAGCCACGUGAACUGGAGAGAGCCGAAGCAAAGGGCUUGAAGAGGUCCGAAGUUGAGCGGCAACAGGAGCAGCUAAUCAAGAAAGUGAUUCCAUUUGUCGAAGUCAAAGCCGAAGUGCUAUCGGAACCAGAGCCCGAGGAAGAACCCCCUCAAGUGCAGGAAACUAUUGCCCCCGACUCUACCUCCCCGAAGCUACCUAAGCCGGCCAAGGAACAACAAAAAGCACCGGCAGAGAAGGCACAACAGCAAAAAGCACAGAAGGAGCCAAAGGAGAAGGUUAAUCCUCCGCAGGAACCGAGGAUCACAGUGCCUGUGCCUGUGCCCACACCACCGCCAGAACCAGGCGAGGCCCAGCCUGCUGCCCCUGUUCCAGAGCUCGUGGCCAUCAAGGAAGAGGUUCUCAGCGAAGAGGAAACGGAAUCGGAGACCCACAACAGCAGACAUAACUUGGUGGCACAGGCAAUGCCUCCACCGCCGUCGCCGCAGUCACAGCCCCAGGCCAACAGAGCGGAGGCAGUGCUAACGAUGCGCGAGGAGACGCCAUCUGUGCGUUAUGUGGGCGACACGUCCAUCCAAAAGAUCAGCCACAAGCAGGCAGCCACGGCGUCCAAAGCUAUGGAGGCGGCACCACCCAAACGCAGGGGCGUCCCAUAUGGCCCUCUGCCUCUGUCGGGGCAAGCAUCCACCUCGCCAGCUCAUUCGCCCGGCCAUUUGCCGAGCGUCAAACCACCCGGCGUGUACGUGGUCAGCAAGCCACCGCCACCGCCACCUGCACCGCCGAAUGUGCGGCAAAAAAGUGACCGUCCUCAACCGCUGACGCAGCCGCCCCCGUCACCCACUACAUCAAGCCUGUUGCGAUCCAAUAUGGUGGUCAUACCCGUGGAGCAGGCAAGCGGCUGCACUCUGAACAGCCCGAUGACGAUACCAGUUCCUCCCCUGAGAGCCGUGUCCAAGAGCACACUCCAGAGCUCGACGUUUAUACCAAGCAUUCCCAUUCCCCCUGGCCCCACCUCAGUGCAAAGCAGCAGUGCUUCCAUGCCACCGCCUCUGGCGGGUUUGAGCAUGCCCCAGAUGGGCACGUCCACGUCUCAAGCCAUAUCCAUGCCGCCCACUAUGGAGUCCGGUGGCCUGCUGGCCAACGCUCUGAACGGACUGCCCACAGAGACCAUGGUGAGCGAGUCGAGACAGAAUGAUUCGUUCGUCUGUGCAGCUCUGAAUGAAAUGCUCCUGCGCUCGGCUCCGCCCAAGCUGGUGCCUCGUCCAUGCGGUCCACUUCAGUCGGAUGGCUCCCAAUUCUAUCCAGCGCACGCCGGACCCGUCUCUCAACGUCUCAAAGACAAUGCACACAAAAUCACGGACUACUUCAUAUCCGUCAUCGAGGACACUCUUAGCGAUCUGGGCGGCGGUGACCAGAAUAUACUGCAGGCUCGCAUCACCAGCCUCGCCCUGGAGAACGAGCGCCUAAAGCAGGACUACAGCCGCCAGCUUUCGGAGAUAAAGCGCAACAACGAGCAAAUGAUCAACGAGAUGCGCAAGGCGCUGGAUCAGGAGAACAAGCGCGUGAUCAGCGAGAUGCGUCAGCAGAGCACAUUGGAACGGAAUCAUGCCGUCGAAGAAACUAAGAAGAAACAGUGGUGCGCCAACUGUAUGCGAGAGGCUCAGCUGUACUGCUGCUGGAACACCUCCUACUGCGACUAUCCUUGCCAGCAGAUGCACUGGCAGCGUCAUUCGGCCACAUGCGGCCAGGCCAGCGCACUGGGGCUGGGUGAAACGAUCGAUUUGACGCCACCGCCGGUAUCAGAGCCGACGCGCUCCAGGCCAAAGCCAACGAUGGCCACUCCGAUUGCCAGUCAUAUGGCUACUCCGAUGCCAGUAGCGACAUCGGUACCAACACCAGCGCCAGCAACUAGUAUCGCCAUUCCCACCCCACAGUUGCAUCGGACAGCGUCCAGUGCAAUGCCGAUUCCGACAGCAUCGGGAUCGGGAACUGGGUCUGGAUCUGGAUCUGGUGGAGCUUUUGCCGGAUCAGCCCCCAAAAAAUGGCAGACCAUGAUGUCCCUCAGCGGCCAUCCCAAUCAGGAGAGUCUUCUCAAACAUCCUGGUCCCCUGCUGGCCGGACUGCCGUCUGGUACAUAUGUACGCCCAGUGUCGGUCAGUGCCACGCAGCCAACCUCGGUGUCGGCUACGGCAUCAGUCAGCAACGUCGUUAACACGACCUCACUAAUAACACCGACGCCGACAUCAUCAGUGCCGCAUAUUGCUACCAUAAUAUCCGGCCCGCGCAACACCGUAAACACGUACAGCUAUGGCAACAGACUGGCCACCCCCCAGCCGAUGCCCAUGCAGCACUACAAUAUACCAGUACCCAUCGCCGUGACCAGCAAUGUACAGCCGUACUCUGUGAUGGCAGAGCAGCCGCCAAAGCCAAAGUCCUCAGCUCGCAGAGGCCAGAAUCGCAGCCGCAAUGCCAACAGCAGCAACAACACCAACAACGUCAACAGUACAAUGGGAAUGCACCACAACCAAGUGAACCAAAUACACUUCCAGCAGUAAGGAUUGGUAUUGUAGGAGGUACACAAUAUAGGAUUUCGGAUUUCCCACCUUUAGAGACUGCCUAGAUAUUCAGAAUAUCUCCUCAGAACAGAAAGAGAGUUUUUAUUUUUAUUUAGUAAAGGAUUACCAUUCAUAAAUAAAAUCAGGACUACCAGGGACUACGAGGAAAGGAUCUUGCGCUGAGGCAGUGUGUUAAAAAGUCAUUUUUAUAGUUUUAAAUUAUAGGUUAAUAAGAAAGGUACACCACAUACAUAAGUAGAUAAGUUAAGAAUACUGUGACCGCAUAGCAAGUAUGAGUUGAAAAAACACAUAAGAAGGACUCAUGUCAAUACCUAAGGAUCAUCCACACAUUCUCACAUGAAGAAACAAACAUCAAAUCAAUCACAUUGCAUUACAUAGUUUUUAUGUAUGACUUAAAGCGAAGCUGCAUCAUUGAAGUUAAGAAGAUAGUAAUUAAAAUUUAACUACUUAUAGAAACCG